rnacentral:misc_RNA from 1 species
ACACAGACACACACACACACACUCGAGAUGAAGACAUUCAGACACCUCACGAUAACUGGCGCCACGCCCACUCUGCACCGCGGAGCUCGGCACGUGAUGCACCUUCUGCUCACCCUCGAGCGCGCCCCGUACGACACGCGACUCAGCCUAGAGUUCGUCUCCCUCGCACACAUGCGUCAACUCAACUGCAAGUACAAAGGCUCAGAUCGGCCCACUGAUGUCCUCACCUUCACCCCGGCAGGUGAGGCGGACAGCUUUGUGAAUGAUCUUCUCUUCGGCGAUUUUCUGGAGAGAGGCGACGGCGACACGGGCACAGGAGCCACGCUGACCACCUCACCUACGUGUGCUGGGGCGGUAGGGGCUGAGCCGAACGCCCUGACGCAGUCCAUCAUCCGUGCUGAGCUGAUCGACCUCGGCAGCAUUUUUGUGUCGCUCGACUAUAUGCGCCUGCGAUGCCGUCGCUUCCCCUCCACUACUCUUCCCCUGGCGCCCUACCUCCAUGCGGCGCUUGUGCACGCCACCCUGCACGCGCUGGGCUACGACCACAAGAAUCCCGCCCUCCUUCAACAAAUGGUACGGAGGGAGCAGCAGCUCGGUCGGCAGCUAGCGAUGAUCGCGCGCCAGCAUCCCAGGUGCCUUCCUCCGCUGAAUAUGUGGGAUUCAAUCUGAAUUCAAACUCGGAGAGAGACGGCGGAAGUGACGGCCGGAGAAAUGUUCACAGAAGCAUACCCACAUCAAAGAGCUUGUGGGGCACGCUUUCAGGGGCCCCUCGCUGAGAUGCGAGCUGCGUCGCUGUGUGCGCUAAAGCAGAGUUUUCCUUCUGCUCCGCUUGGGAAACGCAUACGCAUGUCCUGCGCUCAUCGGCCGAAUUUUUUUUUCGCGUUUCUCAAGGCGCUUACAUGUGUGCUCAUGAUUAGCAAGAACGCAAUCCCUUGUCGAUUGCAAUCGCUGCCGUUCACCUCCCACCUUCUCUUCUUUCGAUCGCACUCUCGACCACCUCAUCGUGCGGCAG